UACGUAGGGUCCGAGCGUUUGUCCGGAAUUAUUGGGCGUAAAGAGCUCGUAGGCGGUUUGUCGCGUCUGCUGUGAAAUCCCGAGGCUCAACCUCGGGCCUGCAGUGGGUACGGGCAGACUGGAGUGCGGUAGGGGGAGAAUGGAAUUCCUGGUGUAGCGGUGGAAUGCGCAGAUAUCAGGAGGAACACCGAUGGCGAAGGCAGUUCUCUGGGCCGUAACUGACGCUGAGGAGCGAAAGCGUGGGGAGCGAACAGG
rnacentral:rRNA from 1 species